rnacentral:rRNA from 1 species
GAUGAACGCUAGCUACAGGCUUAACACAUGCAAGUCGAACGAUUGAAGCUGGAGCUUGCUCCGGCCGAUUUAGUGGCGGACGGGUGAGUAACGCGUGGGUAACCUGCCUCAUACAGGGGAAUAGCAGUUGGAAACGACUGGUAAAAACCGCAUAAGCGCACAGUGUCGCAUGACACAGUGUGAAAACACUCCGGUGGUAUGAGAUGGACCCGCGUCUGAUUAGCUAGUUGGUGAGGUAACGGCCCACCAAGGCGACGAUCAGUAGCCGGCCUGAGAGGGUGAACGGCCACAUUGGGACUGAGACACGGCCCAAACUCCUACGGGAGGCAGCAGUGGGGAAUAUUGCACAAUGGGGGAAACCCUGAUGCAGCGACGCCGCGUGAGUGAUGAAGUAUUUCGGUAUGUAAAGCUCUAUCAGCAGGGAAGAUAAUGACGGUACCUGACUAGAAGCACCGGGCUAAAUACGUGCCAGCAGCCGU